GGCCUUUGGAGUUAUUUGGAUGUGGAAAAUUGUUGAGUUUAUAAAUAAAAUGAAACUGUUUGAGACUGAUUUUUCAUUUGAUGGAGGGCGAUCUUGCAGGACAAGGAUAUAUUAAUGCACUAAUUGUAGAUAUAACAAUAAAACUACAUGCACUUAUAAUUUGUACAUUUUGAUUGAGGACUAUUUUUACACAUUUUAUGAAGGUUAUAAACAAGUUAUAAUGAGCUUUGUUUUAUCUCUGAAAUCAAGAUAUGCGUAAAAUAAAUUUAGGUGUAAGCGUAGGAAAGAAUAGGCUACCCGAACCAUUCGUUCAUAUUAUUUUGACGGGAAAUCAACAAAAAAGAACACGAAGCUCAAUUUGAGGUGCUCCGUUGUGUUAAUUUGACAGCAAUAUAAAUAUGUACAUUAAGUUCAUUAUGUAGAAAUCUUAUAAUUGUUAAGAAUUUCAUUGUGCCUAAACAUACCCGUGUGGCUGUACAUGUCAAGAAGUGACCAGAAAUUAUUAUAAUUGUUAUGUUACAACUCCUUUGCAGAACUUGGAAACUUGUUAAACUACAGGAAACUUGUGAAAUUUUUACCUUAUGCAGUUAUAUUACUUUUAAAUCCAUGAGUUGCAAAUCAGUGGCACACAAAACAUUGGGGAGUGCGUGUUUGGUUGUUAUUACAUCCCUGCACUCUGUGCAGAAAAUCUUGGCUUCUGCAAUCUAAAAUCUCAUCAAAGAAUUUUUGUUUACAGUCAUUUCAAAUUUUCUUAAAAGGCUGCUUUUGUUAGUGUGUAACAAUUAAAUAUUCAAGGCAAUUUACAGUUUAUUGAAGUUUUGAUUUACAAUUUAUUGAAGGCUAGCUCUUAAAAGUAAUUAGAUAUUCAGGAUAGCUCUGAUAAUCAUAGAAAAUGACAAACAUCAGUGGCUUUGUUACAUCGUCGACAACAGAGUCGUAGCAGACGGUCUGGUUGUUUUCAUCAAUUGGGGGUGGCACGAGUAAUCCUUCCUUUCCUUUCGUGUAUUUACCAACCAACACCCGAGCGAUGUACAUGUACUGUAAGCCUUUCUCAUCGGGAGCAGAAUAAUUCUUUCUUGCCGAGUACCAAGCUUGGUUAGCAAAGUAUACUCCUUUGCCAAACCUCACAGCUGUGAAGAAAACAUGUAUUUUUAUUACACUUUAACUGGCUAUUAAGAGGGCGUCUCUGUAAGAGCGGACCACUGGAUCUGGGCUUCAAAAAUAGAUUACUCUUAUAUUUCUACCGUCGAUACUCUCAUCUAUCCUAACUACGAAACUGGAGUUAAGAUCGUUCUAACGUGGUUUUUAC